rnacentral:rRNA from 1 species
AUUGAACGCUGGCGGCAGGCUUAACACAUGCAAGUCGAGCGGGGUGAUGGUGCUUGCACUAUCACUUAGCGGCGGACGGGUGAGUAAUGCUUAGGAAUCCGCCUAUUAGUGGGGGACAACAUCUCGAAAGGGAUGCUAAUACCGCAUACGUCCUACGAGAGAAAGCAGGGGAUCACUUGUGACCUUGCGCUAAUAGAUGAUCCUAAGUCGGUUUAGCUAGUUGGUGGGGUAAAGGCCAACCAAGGCGACGAUCUGUAGCGGGUCUGAGAGGAUGAUCCGCCACACUGGGACUGAGACACGGCCCAGACUCCUACGGGAGGCAGCAGUAGGGAAUAUUAGACAAUGGGGGGAACCCUGAUCCAGCCAUGCCGCGUGUGUGAAGAAGGCCUUAUGGUUGUAAAGCACUUUAAGCGAGGAGGAGGCUCUUUUGGUUAAUACCCAAGAUGAGUGGACGUUACUCGCAGAAUAAGCACCGGCUAACUCUGUGCCAGCCGCCGCCGUAA